AGGACUUUCCAGCCUGAGCUGGUCCUUCAGGCUGCCAGGCUCUGGCACUCCGCGCUUUGCUUUGAGAACUGGCGUUGGGCACCCCAAGACGGCUCUCUGCAGCCUCGGUGGUGGAGGCGGUUAACCUCCGCGCCACCCUGUCCCCUCCCGUAUAUGACGGACCACCCCCUCCGUGGGGCUCUACGUACAUCCCAGGGGUCACCCCACCCCCGCCCCGACUCCUUUCCCCCAAGUCAGGAGCUUGCUGUCUGCGGGAAGGACCGAAUGAAUAUGAAAUCUGUCCUCGUUGCUAACUAGGGCGCAGAACGUGUUUCUCCUUUAAAAGCAGUUCACGUGGGCCUUAGAUGGGUGUGUACUCCCUCUGUGUGUUCUGGGAGGACGGGUGGGGGGCAUCGGUGGCCCAGGCCGUGUGUUCCCCUAACGGCUGACCCGGGAGGGCGGCAGGACCACAGACACCCCGCGCAGAUUCUUUACCAUCUGAGCCACCAGGGGGAGCCCAUGAGACCCCCCCCAUACGCAUAGUGCUUCUGGAAAGCUCAGAAAUGAAGGACCGACAACUGGGGAUCAGCUGUGUCCCAGGCAGACGUGUGAAGAAAGGCAAGUGCAGGAAGAAAAGGCAAGUCCAGGGUCUCACCUGGUUUGCAGCAGCCGGAGACCCUGCUCAGGAGCCCGUGGAGUCGGUCGUCCGGCCAGUCGUGCAGGAGGCUGCAGACAAUGUACAGG